CCAAUACCAGCCUGCUGGCUGCCGCGGUGGUUGUUAAGUCAACCGCACGGUUUUCCGGUCAGGUGAACCAGUACCACCUGUGCUUCGCAUGGGUACCUGGGUCAACCCUUUGUGAACCAAAACAAACCUUUCGCUUCGGCAGCGGGGCCCUAAACCAGCCCGUCAGCCUGCCGCUAGCACCAAACACAAAAUAAACUUGUUGUAAAAACAUUGUCUGACAACCAAAUUUUCGAAUGAAAAUCA
rnacentral:misc_RNA from 1 species